CAAAAACAUUGCUUCUUGAUUAUUAAUAAGAAGUAAAUCCUGCCCAGUGAAUUAAUUCAACGGCCGCGGUAUCCUAACCGUGCAAAGGUAGCAUAAUCACUUGCCCAUUAAUUGUGGGCUAGAAUGAAAGGACUAACGAAAUAAAAACUGUCUCCGCAAGACUAGUAGAAAUUAUCCUCUAACUGAAGAGUGUUAGAUACCUUUGAAGGACAAGAAGACCCUAUAGAGCUUUAUUCUAGUUAAUAAUUUAUAUUAGACAAAAAUUCGGUUGGGGCGACCCGGGAAAUAUUUAUCAUCCCAUAUAUUAAAGAUUAAUAAAUCUAUAUAAAGACCCUAAUAAGAUCAUAAAAACAAGCUACCUUAGGGAUAACAGGCUAAUCCAGUUAAAGAGUCCUUAUCAAUAGCAGGGAUUGGCACCUCGAUGUUGGCUUAGGAAAUCUAUGUGGCGCAAAAGUCAUAUAAAGAUGGUUUGUUCAACCAAUAAUAUCCUACAUGAUCU
rnacentral:rRNA from 1 species